GCCGGGCGUGGUGGCACGCGCCUGUAGUCCUAGCUACUUGGGAGGCUGAGGCAGGAGAAUCGCUUGAACCUGGGAGGUGGAGGUUGCAGUGAGCUGAGAUGGCCCCAUUGCACUCCAGCCUGGGUGACAAAGCGAGACUCUGUCUCCC
ensembl:misc_RNA Metazoa_SRP Metazoan signal recognition particle RNA